UCCGGUUUGACACCGGCAGUCUCCUAUGAGUCCCCGACAUAACUCGCUGGCAACAUAGGACAGGGGUUGCGCUCGUUGCGGGACUUAACCCAACACCUCACGGCACGAGCUGACGACAACCAUGCACCACCUGUAUAGGACGCCGAAGCACACCACAUCUCUGUGGUUUUUCCCUAUAUGUCAAGCCCUGGUAAGGUGGGGAUGACGUACGGAAUGUCGAUA
rnacentral:misc_RNA from 1 species